CUCUCUCUAUCAUUAUUAUUAUUAGUUGUUAUGGUAUAUUCAUGUAGAACAACGAUUAAAUUUGUGUUUUCCCAAUGUGUAACAGGUUCGAAUGAUAUUCGGCUCAACAUUCAAAGAAUGAUUCUAGCCGACCUGACUAAUGUGUUGACAAGCGGUAGUUUUGUACCUAUCGCAGCCGUUGUGAAACAGCGAACCCCCGGAGCAAGUCGACUAUCCAAGAAGAAUUUGAAAAGACCAGCGGGAAUAGUGGUGGCUAUACCCUGCUCACCGCUGGCCAUAGAUCAGCCACAAAUUCAGUUUAAAAAGGCUCGCAAGGACGCCGCACAUAGUGUUUUAGCUCCGGAGAAUUUUAACCAGGUUAUCCAGGCAGUCAUAAACCCGCAAAUCGCGCAACAUGGGGCUGUAUGGUCUAAUUCCAAACACCAAGUGAUCGGUGCUGUCGAGGUGCAUGUGUCUGCAUCGCCUACAGAGACCGUCACAGUGCAACCGGAUGGGACUAUACAACACGCCCAUGGAGAUCCCCAGUGUGUGCCACUACCAGUGUUGACCGCCGAUGAUUUGGCUGGUCUUGACGACCUCUCGUCCUGGACUUCAUCACUGCUGGAUCAUAUCGACUUCACUCCAGCUCAGUGGAUCGACUCUCCUGCUACAUCCUUAGGGGCUACCAUCAGUGCAGAGCCUGUGCAACACCACCAGCCUGCAGAUCCUGCAUCUGGAUCCCUACAUGCCAUUCAAGACCCUAGCCGCGACCCCCCGUGCAUCGUGAGUCUCAGCACUCAAGAGGUAGCGGUGCCGC